GUGGCUGUGGCUCAGUGGUAGAGCACUUGCCUAGCAUGCUUGAGGCACUGGGUUCAAUCCUCAGCACCAUA
rnacentral:tRNA from 1 species